UUGCCAGACUCCUACGGGAGGCAGCAGUGAGGAAUAUUGGUCAAUGGGCGCGAGCCUGAACCAGCCAAGUCGCGUGAGGGAUGACGGCCCUACGGGUUGUAAACCUCUUUUGUCAGGGAGCAAAGGCGGGGACGUGUCCCCGGAUGAGUGUACCUGAAGAAAAAGCAUCGGCUAACUCCGUGCCAGCAGCCGCGGUAAUACGGAGGAUGCGAGCGUUAUCCGGAUUUAUUGGGUUUAAAGGGUGCGCAGGCGGAGGUGCAAGUCAGCGGUCAAAUUGCGGGGCUCAACCCCGUACUGCCGUUGAAACUGCAUCCCUUGAGUGCGCGAGAAGUAUGCGGAAUGCGUGGUGUAGCGGUGAAAUGCAUAGAUAUCACGCAGAACUCCGAUUGCGAAGGCAGCAUACCGGCGCGCAACUGACGCUCAUGCACGAAAGCGUGGGUAUCGAACAGGAUUAGAUACCCCAGUA
rnacentral:rRNA from 1 species